rnacentral:misc_RNA from 1 species
ACAAGCAUUGGAGCAUGACAUGGCUAGUCAUGUCUAUUAGGAGUGUACAAUCAGUUGGUUCAGUUUUAAACUGAAUUGAAUUGAAUUAAUUGAAAAAGUGAGAUCUAAAAUUAUGGGAACCGAACCGAUAUUAAUAAAACGAAUUAGUUCAAUUCAUUGGUUUUUAAUACACCAAACAAGCAAAAUUUCUCAAUACCUAGGCCAAAUGCACAAAAAAAUAUACAAAUGCAAAAAAAUUCAUAUGCAAAAACAAUGAAAUUUCAAUUUAUCAAAGAAUCAACAUAAUAGCUAUCAAUUUCUCUCAGAAUCCACGCAAUAACCUAUCAAAUUCUCAAUGAAUCUAUACAAACCAUGGUUUCAAAUUGCGGUCGUGGUCAAAGAUAAUGGAAAUAGUCCUGUAACAGCGGUAACAUAACGAUAAAGGCCUGGAGCUAUGCAAACUUUUUUGUAAAAUUUGCAAAAUUUAUAAAAUGACUAUAUAAAUUGGUAGAUGCAAGUAAAACUAAUAUACACAAUUAUAUAAUAAGCACAAAU